AAUCGAUUUCACGCAAAUAUCAUAUUUUCGGCAAGCAAGCAAAUGUACAAAAGCCCGCUCCUUUCCCCGUUUCCCGCUUCUUACUCUACACUUGUCGUUCUGACUUCCAUUUUUAUUUUAGAGUUUGUUUUGAUCCGACACAAGCACGCGCCUGCCUCCGCAAGCAUCCCCUCUGUCUAGUGCUUAUUAUAUUUCUGUUCCUCUUUCCAUUUUGUUCUUAUUUUUUCAUUUUGCUUUGAACUAUGGUAAAUUUGCUCAAAGUGUGGUGGCACGGAAAAAUUUUUGGUAUGGUGGCAGCCGACACUUCUCUACCGACACCGUCGGUCGAGUGGUGCACUCGUCGACGUGUGGUAUAUUUGGCCGACUGCACCCCAAAAUUUCUGGCAGAAAUUAGUUCACAGAGAAAAUGCGCCUUCCCAGUUAUAAACGUUCUCUGGUAUUGGAGAAUACUAAAGUAGGUUUGAUCAGCAGCUUGUGUGAUUUAUUUAGCUUAAGUCGACCGGCAUUCCGUUUCAAUCCUCAGUAAAUAUACAAGAUGGAAAUAAAACAAUUAGAUCAGAUUGUUCCGAGCGGUUGUGUUGUUUACUAAGAAAAUGCAGCCCUGUUGGUUUUUAUUUUUCUAUGGCAUCGCGACCAUAAAUUACAAGCAUAGCAUCAUCAACGGUGAUUGCAAAGAAAACUACUGCAAUCCCUUCGGUUUUUCCGAAUCCCUUCGGAAUUCCAACACAUCUAUUGAAUAAUACAAGACGUACUCCUUUGAAAUCUCUCGCUGCUGCUGCAACAAUAAGUGUGUCUGUAGUAUAUUGGCCAUUGGGCUCUGUCACAUGGUCAGUAUUUAUUGACGUGAUUCGAGUAUCGCGAUAUUUAUUGAUCUGGAGUGUUCUAAUUGUAUCUCCUUGAUAUGAUGCCUACAACGUGGUUCUAUCUAGACUAGGAAUAGCUUUGCUACACUACCGCCGCGGCGCGCCGGCAGCUUUAACAAUUUUAUAGUGGUUUUACGUUCUUUGGCAAAUUAUGCUCUGGACCAUAUGGGGAGUUCAUUUACAUUUUAAAUUCCACUGUCAUCGUGAUUGGAACUAUGUGUAAUGCGAUAAAAGCAUAUAAUUUGCAACCCUACUGAAUUACUACAAACUACCUUGUAUGAAUACGCCCUAGGCUAAUCUAGUACAACUAAGAACUUAGAAUUUACGAUAUUUGAAUGCGACCCUGUCAUAUGUACGACAGCUGCUAGGCUUAUGUCAAAAUGUGAAAAAUAUAUUGGCGGCCCGCAAAAUGGCGGCCACCUACAUAUAUAUAUAAAAAAAGAACUUGGAAACAAAAUGUAACAAAAAAAUAUAAAACGUAAAAAAAAAAAAAAAAUUAAGUAAA